rnacentral:snRNA from 1 species
AUGCUUCCUUGGUAGAGGAGACACCGUGAUCAGGAAGGUAUUUUUCUCAAGGCAAGGCUCAUCCAUUGCACUUGGGCUGUGUUGAGCCCUGCAAUUUCCCCAAUUGCAGGAUACACAACCACAUCAUGC